GACGAACGCUGGCGGCGUGCUUAACACAUGCAAGUCGAACGGUAAGGCCCUUCGGGGUACACGAGUGGCGAACGGGUGAGUAACACGUGGGUGAUCUACCCUGCACUUCGGGAUAAGCCUGGGAAACUGGGUCUAAUACCGGAUAGGACCACUGCCUGCAUGGGUGGUGGUGGAAAGCUUUUGCGGUGUGGGAUGGGCCCGCGGCCUAUCAGCUUGUUGGUGGGGUGAUGGCCUACCAAGGCGACGACGGGUAGCCGGCCUGAGAGGGUGACCGGCCACACUGGGACUGAGAUACGGCCCAGACUCCUACGGGGGGCAGCAGUGGGGAAUAUUGCACAAUGGGCGCAAGCCUGAUGCAGCGACGCCGCGUGAGGGAUGAUGGCCUUCGGGUUGUAAACCUCUUUCAGCACCGACGAAGCGCAAGUGACGGUAGGUGCAGAAGAAGGACCGGCCAACUACGUGCCAGCCGCCGCAGUAA
rnacentral:rRNA from 1 species